UACAAGUGUGUAGCUCUCAGUCCAUGUUAGCGAAUUAAAUGCUGUUAAAACACCGCGGUGCUGAGAAUGCACGUGCACGCGAUAGGGGGGAGGCUUUCGACACAACCAGCUGGGUUAAUUUCAUCUUGAAGUCAUGAUUGUCCGAUAUAAAUGCCCAUUAUCUAAACAGUUAUUGGACGAUCACCACUUCUAGCCAAAUCUAACCCAACUGACUGAGAAAUGGUGAAGCUCCCCCGCUCGUCUAUCAGUAAGGAAUAACUCUAGAUGGCACACGUGAGCCGCAGUCAUUACUUCACAAAACACGAACGCAGUUCCAGCCAAUCACACGGUAGUGUUUUACGGAUGGACAACCUACGGACAGCGUGAUUGGUUGAAUUUCCGAAGCACGUACGCUUCUGUUUUGGAAGAAAUGAGCGCUGCUUCAGAGGAAGCCUUCCUUACUGUUGAAGACGUAUGCAGCUCAGCAUUCGAAGCAUCUUUUAUUUAGGACAUAUUAUGGAUAAACAAGCAGAUACAGCGUAGCAUGCUGGGAACGAUGUAAAUUCGAAUCCUCUUCUGAGUAAUUUAUUGGUCGACUGGGAGAGGAAUCCAGUAGGUGUCGAUGACAACUUCCUGCCAGUUCCUUGCUGGGAUAUCCAACUUCCUGUUUAAUGGUGGUCGGCAAACACAAUGGAGCAUUCGGGGUUGUUGUUCAGCUGUUCUCUCAAAAAUCUUCCAAAAAUGACCAUGGCACACGUUACACAAUCAGUGGAAAGCCGCAUAUCAUCGAAAAAACUUGAAAAGGGGCACAAACAUUUUCAUAAAAAUUCUUUUCAAAGGUGCAGGUCACUUUACAGGUUGAGCCUGUGCAGUUAAACAGCACGUUAUGCUCAUGCACUGCAGGGAAAGCACUGUGCGCCGACCUGCUCGCCUUGCUUUUCCAGUGUGCACAUGGUAGUAUGAUGAAAAUGCAGACAGCCCCAUCAAGAGUGCCAUGUGCUGACUCUCUGCAGACCUGACAUCGGCCAUGGACUUGGGUAAUUUGCAUUCGUUUAUGUGAUAUGCAUUUCAUAAUAAAACAUUCUUUUUGUA